GGGCUGGUAGCUCAGUUAGUAGAGCAUCCUGACCGGUAUUCGGAAGGCCCUGGGUUCAAGUCCCAGCUGGUUCA
rnacentral:tRNA from 1 species